UCGCAACCGGGGGUCCGACCUUCGCAACCAGGGGUCGGACCAUCGCAACCGGAGGUCCGACCUUCCCAACCAGGGGUCGGACCUUCGCAACCAGGGGUCGGACCAUCGCAACCGGGGGUCCGACCUUACCAACCAGGGGUCGGACCUUCCCAACCGGGGGUCAGAUCUUCGCAACUCAGGGGUCGGACUUCGCAAAUAUACUGUAUUUUAAAUAUUUGGUCAUGGAAAUGUGAUUUGAAGUCCUGGUCACCCAUUGGUCAACCCUGUUUUCACUGGGACGCUAUGAAUAUGACUGUUUAUGUUUUAUUGACAUAAACAAGGUGCAUGCUGGGUGUUCUGGAGGCCGGGGGUCGUCUCCACGGCGAUGGGCUUCCACACUUUUCCUCUUCAUCACAUGCAACGCGAUGCAAAGAUGGCCGUGCUGCUCCAGAUUGCAUCACGCCGCUGGAGGGGCAACCGGUAUGAAACACCCCCCCCCCCCCGCCCUCUUUCUUUCUUUCCGUUUCCCUCCCUCCAUCCUCGGGAAUCCAGGUCUGCUGGGGCAUUUUUUAAGACAAGAGGCUUCCUGGACUAUUUUGGUAUCAAAGCCGGGGAGACAGCGAGAGGCUCGGCUCUCUGAAGCUGACAUGUGAGGAGAGGAGGGCCUUCCUCCUCCUCCUCCCCCUGCUCCUCCUCUUCCUCCUCCACUGGGUUGCAGGGGGCAAUGGGAGGGGAGGCACUCAGUAGCCCUGCCAGGAGCCGUCUCUCCUGGGGGUCGGAGCCUCCAACGCGUGCUCCGACGGGAUGGUUCACAACUUUAAGUCAGUUUAGAGUGAAGUUAUUGUGUAUUAUAGGAUAUUAUAAUUGUAUGUUUUACUACCGGUUCAUUUUUAUUCCUCACUUUGCUCCAUUUUAAUGCUGACGUCGAUGUUUUUCAUCUUUAAUGUGAGUAAGCAGCUCCAGCCGGCGGGCGCAGCGCGGUCCAGAUGACCUUCUGCUGGUUCGCAGCCCGGCCUGCAGAGGCUCCGCCCCCCCGUGACUCCGCCCCACCGUGACUCUGACCUGGCUAGUCUCUGCUGCGACGCACCGCUCCGCCCGACUCAUCCGCUGCCAAGCCCCUUCAAGUUAUUCAUCUGGAAGAAAUAUGCAUUCAUCAUUGUAUUUUUAAUCACACCAAAUAGAACGACAAAGGGAGCGCCGCGGGAGACGGGAAGCAAUCUGCAAUUCCCAGAACUCGACGGUAUUCCUGCCGAACAUUCCCCAAACGACUGAAUGAAUUUAUUUAUAAUUUCUCCUUCCAACAGCUCUGGAAAACCGCCCAGACGUCCUGAGUGGAGCAACAUGGCGUGACGGAGGAGGAGAAGACCGUGAGAAAAAAGAGAAGAAGAAGAAGAAGAAGAAAGGCCCCAAAGUGUUGGCCAUUAAAUCCAUUUACACAGGAAGUCAAUGAGGAGAAACCCCUGAGUGGAGGCACCUCCCAGGACAGCUCAGGGGUCCUGAGAGGAGGGAAGGAGUGAGACGGUUUGAGGAGCCGGUGACAGUCGGAUGAGGUGGUUGCCGUGACGUUGAAGGUCAUGUGACCUUUUGUCCUUCAUACCAAAAGCGUCCAGGACGCCACGUCUGCUCAUCACUCCUCCUCCUCCUCCUCCUCCUCCUCCACCCUCAGCAUCUCCAGCAUUGUGUCCGUUACCGAGGAAACAAAGUUGUGUCCGUCUGCAGCUGAGGGCCAACAACUAAAAGACAUCACGGGGCAUCCCAUCAGAUGUUGAUGGUCCUCAUUGAGGUUUCUGGGCGGAGCAGCAUCUUCCUGGAGGAGUGAAGCACCGUCCUGCCGACUAACUGCACGUUGUGUGGAGGAAAGUCAACACAGUCGUUCUCCCACGGGUCGACUCACAACACGACGACGCUUCAAUACGUUCUAUACCCAAAAAAAUAAAAGAAGAAAUGUGGGAGGGGACAUUUGAAAUUAAUUAUAACGGCGCCGAGAUAUUUGUCUUCUCUUCUUUGUGAAUAUUCUCCUCUAUUCUCUCAGAAAAACAGAAAUAGCAUCACGAGCUAGCAUCUCUCGCUCUCUCUCUCUCUCUUUUUGCUUGAAAUAUAAAGCUUUUUUUUUGCCGCUCCGGUUCUCAUCCCACGUGUCCUCCUCGGCGGCGUCGGUCCCCCGGUGACACCGGAGUGAGGACGGCAGCUUUAAUUUGCGGGGGGAGAAUAUUGAUUUAAAAAAAUAAAUACAAAAAGUGAUCUCCUC